CAUGCACCGGUGGGGUCCCUUGGCCUGGCUUGCGCCCUCUCGUAAUCCGGGACCUCUUGGGGGAUGUCAGAGAGCCGGUUUCGGCCCAAUCCUGCAGGCCAGGCCAAGGGACCCCACUGGUGCACA
rfam:Myotis lucifugus cont2.15770, whole genome shotgun sequence.